rnacentral:rRNA from 1 species
UACAGAGACUGCAAGCGUUAUUCGGAUUCACUGGGCGUAAAGGGUGCGCAGGCGGUUGGGUGUGUCAGAUGUGAAAUCCCGAGGCUUAACCUCGGAACUGCGUCUGAAACUACUCGACUAGAGUAUUGGAGAGGGUAACGGAAUUCACGGUGUAGCAGUGAAAUGCGUAGAUAUCGUGAGGAACACCAGAGGCGAAGGCGGUUACCUGGACAAUUACUGACGCUCAGGCACAAAAGCAUGGGGAGCAAAAGGG